rnacentral:rRNA from 1 species
CCUACGGGAGGCAGCAGUGAGGAAUAUUGGUCAAUGGACGAGAGUCUGAACCAGCCAAGCCGCGUGAGGGAUGAAUGCCCUAGGGUUUGUAAACUUCUUUUAUAAAGGAAUAAAACGAGGCACUUGUGCCGUUUUGCAGGUACUUUAUGAAUAAGGAUCGGCUAACUCCGUGCCAGCAGCCGCGGUAAUACGGAGGAUGCGCGCGUUAUCGGUAUUUAUUGGGUUUAAAGGGUGCGUAGGGGGCAUAUCAAGUCAGCGGUAAAAAUUCGGGGCUAAACCCCGUCGUGCCGUUGAAACUGAUGUUCUUGAGUGGGGGAGGAGUAUGCGGAAUGCGUGGUGUAGCGGUGAAAUGCAUAGAUAUCGCGAAGAACUCCGAUUGCGAAGGCAGCAUACCGGCGCCCAACUGACGCUGAAGCACGAAAGCGUGGGUAUCGAACAGGAUUAGAUACCCGAGUAGUC